rnacentral:rRNA from 1 species
GAUUAGUGGCGAACGGGUGAGUAAUACGUGAGUAACCUGCCCUUGACUCUGGGAUAAGCCUGGGAAACUGGGUCUAAUACUGGAUACUACCUCUUACCGCAUGGUGGGUGGUGGAAAGGGUUUUACUGGUUUUGGAUGGGCUCACGGCCUAUCAGCUUGUUGGUGGGGUAAUGGCUCACCAAGGCGACGACGGGUAGCCGGCCUGAGAGGGUGACCGGCCACACUGGGACUGAGACACGGCCCAGACUCCUACGGGAGGCAGCAGUGGGGAAUAUUGCACAAUGGGCGGAAGCCUGAUGCAGCGACGCCGCGUGAGGGAUGACGGCCUUCGGGUUGUAAACCUCUUUCAGUAGGGAAGAAGCGAGAGUGACGGUACCUGCAGAAGAAGCGCCGGCUAACUACGUGCCAGCAGCCGCGGUAAUACGUAGGGCGCAAGCGUUGUCCGGAAUUAUUGGGCGUAAAGAGCUCGUAGGCGGUUUGUCGCGUCUGCUGUGAAAGCCCGGGGCUCAACCCCGGGUCUGCAGUGGGUACGGGCAGACUAGAGUGCAGUAGGGGAGACUGGAAUUCCUGGUGUAGCGGUGAAAUGCGCAGAUAUCAGGAGGAACACCGAUGGCGAAGGCAGGUCUCUGGGCUGUUACUGACGCUGAGGAGCGAAAGCAUGGGGAGCGAACAGGAUUAGAUACCCUGGUAGUCCAUGCCGUAAACGUUGGGCACUAGGUGUGGGGGACAUUCCACGUUUUCCGCGCCGUAGCUAACGCAUUAAGUGCCCCGCCUGGGGAGUACGGCCGCAAGGCUAAAACUCAAAGGAAUUGACGGGGGCCCGCACAAGCGGCGGAGCAUGCGGAUUAAUUCGAUGCAACGCGAAGAACCUUACCAAGGCUUGACAUUCACCGGACCGCCCCAGAGAUGGGGUUUCCCUUCGGGGCUGGUGGACAGGUGGUGCAUGGUUGUCGUCAGCUCGUGUCGUGAGAUGUUGGGUUAAGUCCCGCAACGAGCGCAACCCUCGUUCUAUGUUGCCAGCACGUGAUGGUGGGGACUCAUAGGAGACUGCCGGGGUCAACUCGGAGGAAGGUGGGGAUGACGUCAAAUCAUCAUGCCCCUUAUGUCUUGGGCUUCACGCAUGCUACAAUGGCCGGUACAAAGGGUUGCGAUACUGUGAGGUGGAGCUAAUCCCAAAAAGCCGGUCUCAGUUCGGAUUGAGGUCUGCAACUCGACCUCAUGAAGUCGGAGUCGCUAGUAAUCGCAGAUCAGCAACGCUGCGGUGAAUACGUUCCCGGGCCUUGUACACACCGCCCGUCAAGUCACGAAAGUUGGUAACACCCGAAGCCGGUGGCCUAACCCCUUGUGGGAGGGAGCCGUCGAAGGUGGGACUGGCGAUUGGGACUAAGUCGUAAAAGGGUAACCG